rnacentral:rRNA from 1 species
AUUGAACGCUGGCGGCAGGCCUAACACAUGCAAGUCGAGCGAGCGGCGGACGGGUGAGUAAUGUCUGGGAAACUGCCUGAUGGAGGGGGAUAACUACUGGAAACGGUAGCUAAUACCGCAUCCCAUCAGAUGUGCCCCGGUGGGAUUAGCUAGUAGGUGGGGUAACGGCUCACCUAGGCGAGGAUCCCUAGCUGGUCUGAGAGGAUGACCAGCCACACUGGAACUGAGACACGGCCCAGACUCCUACGGGAGGCAGCAGUGGGGAAUAUUGGACAAUGGGCGAAAGCCUGAUGCAGCCAGGCCGCGUGUGUGAAGAAGGCUUUCGGGUUGUAAAGCACUUUCAGUGGGGAGGCGUUACCCGCAGAAGAAGCACCGGCUAACUCCGUGCCAGCAGCCGCGGUAAUAC